rnacentral:rRNA from 1 species
UACGUAGGUGGCGAGCGUUGUCCGGAUUUACUGGGCGUAAAGGGAGCGUAGGCGGACUUUUAAGUGAGAUGUGAAAUACUCGGGCUCAACUUGAGUGCUGCAUUUCAAACUGGAAGUCUAGAGUGCAGGAGAGGAGAAUGGAAUUCCUAGUGUAGCGGGGAAAUGCGUAGAGAUUAGGAAGAACACCAGUGGCGAAGGCGAUUCUCUGGACUGUAACUGACGCUGAGGCUCGAAAGCGUGGGGAGCAAACAGG